rnacentral:rRNA from 1 species
CUACGGGUGGCACCAGUGGGGAAUAUUGCACAAUGGAGGAAACUCUGAUGCAGCAACGCCGCGUGGAGGAUGACACUUUUCGGAGCGUAAACUCCUUUUAUAUAGGAAGAAGAUGACGGUACUAUAUGAAUAAGCGCCGGCUAACUCCGUGCCAGCAGCCGCGGUAAUACGGAGAGCGCAAGCGUUACUCGGAAUCACUGGGCGUAAAGAGCGUGUAGGCGGAUUAAAAAGUCAGAAGUGAAAUCCUAUAGCUUAACUAUAGAACUGCUUCUGAAACUCUUAAUCUAGAAUAUGGGAGAGGUAGAUGGAAUUUCUGGUGUAGGGGUAACAUCCGUAGAGAUCAGAAGGAAUACCGAUUGCGAAGGCGAUCUACUAGAACAUUAUUGACGCUGAGACGCGAAAGCGUGGGGAGCAAACAGGAUUAGAUACCCUGGUAGUC